GAAGUAAAAGUCGUAACAAGGUCUCCGUAGGUGAACCUGCGGAGGGAUCAUUACAAGAACGCCCGGGCUUCGGCCUGGUUAUUCAUAACCCUUUGUUGUCCGACUCUGUUGCCUCCGGGGCGACCCUGCCUUCGGGCGGGGGCUCCGGGUGGACACUUCAAACUCUUGCGUAACUUUGCAGUCUGAGUAAACUUAAUUAAUAAAUUAAAACUUUUAACAACGGAUCUCUUGGUUCUGGCAUCGAUGAAGAACGCAGCGAAAUGCGAUAAGUAAUGUGAAUUGCAGAAUUCAGUGAAUCAUCGAAUCUUUGAACGCACAUUGCGCCCCCUGGUAUUCCGGGGGGCAUGCCUGUUCGAGCGUCAUUUCACCACUCAAGCCUCGCUUGGUAUUGGGCAACGCGGUCCGCCGCGUGCCUCAAAUCGUCCGGCUGGGUCUUCUGUCCCCUAAGCGUUGUGGAAACUAUUCGCUAAAGGGUGUUCGGGAGGCUACGCCGUAAAACAACCCCAUUUCUAAGGUUGACCUCGGAUCAGGUAGGGAUACCCGCUGAACUUAAGCAUA
rnacentral:rRNA from 1 species